rnacentral:lncRNA from 1 species
CAGCCUCCUGAGUAGCUGGGAUUACAGGGGAACAGGCCUGCGUCUCCUCCCUCUGAACUGCCAACUACUAACCCCCACCAUACCCAUUGUCUCCACACCACCUCCCACGCCCCCUGAAGACUCAGACCCAAAACAGAUCUGUAAAGCAUGUGCGUGUGACCAUGGGAACCCGGGAGUCCUGUCUCCUCUUCAUCCACAGAAAUUUCCACAGAAGCCCCACGGAUUCCCAUUUCAGGUAUGAGACUACCAUUGCCUCUGGGUUUCCCUGACCCUCCAGGGACAAUCUGGCUUGUCCUCCCCCAGACUUCUUCCCUCAGCACCUCAGGUGAGGGGAAACCUUCAUGUCCAUGCCCUGGGCACCCACCCCUCCCUCUACCACAUCAAAGCUCAGUGGGGAGCAAGGUCCAGUGAGGGCUUUGGAGUCUCCAGGAAGACCCCCCUUUCUGGGUCAGCUAGAAGAUCAGCUUAGAAGGCUUAGCUGCUCCUGAAGGGGCCUGUGUUGAGCUUCUUGUGCCAUGUUUGGGGUGGCUCUGUGGCACUGCCUGGGCUGAGUAGUUCUGGAUGUGACUAUAGGGAUUUGGGGUGUUACUGUAGAUUUUGGAUGCUGUCAUAGAGUUUGGAGUACAACUGUGGAGUUGCCCUGGAGAUUAUGGUGGGGUUUUCUGGGCUUCACACUAGGGUUGCUCUGGGGUUUUUAUAGGGUUACUCCAAAAGGCCACAGGCCUGUGCUACUACCUGGCCCAGAGGAAGGGAGGGAGAUAAGGCUGUAAAAGAAAGCUAGGGAGUUUGGAGGGGGAAGGACGGAGGUGACCCAGCUUCCUAGAGGAGGGGAUAAUUUGAAGUUGCAGAGCAGCAAGGCUCUGCUCUACCCCAUCUUGGUAUUCAAGUCCCAAACCCUGGCCAACAGCCUCCUUUGUUGGCAGUGAGGGUCUGGGAAUGAAGAAGGCUGCUUGCUCCCCUGGAGUGAUGACAGGCGAGAUGCUGUGCAAGCCCCGGGCUUUCUGUAGGGAGGAAGGACCAGGCCUGGUCCUGGGCAGCAGUAUGGUCCUCCUGGGUGUAUGUCCCCAACAAUAACUGAGCCCAGAGCUCCCACCUCAGUCUUGGAGCCCUGCCCUGGGUGUUGCUGGGGCAGGGCAGAGUCCGGAGGAAAACGACAUAGACCCUUCUCCCUGGGGACCCUGAACUUACAGGGAUGACAGACCCUAAUCUUGGACCCAAGUGAAUAGAGAACUCUUCUUGCAGCUUAAUCAUGAAAAACUCCCCAAGAGACAGAAGUGUAGAGCCAGGAUUGGGCAGAGUCUGAGAAGGGAGAGGGUUCCAAGUAGCAACAGCUGAGGGAAGGUGCAGAGGUGAGGAAGGAUGAGGGUAGUUUAGCCCCAGAGACUUGGCGUAGGGAAAGAAGAGUCAUUCACUCUUGUAUCCAUCAUUCACUUAGCAAACAAUCGAGAGAGCAGCUCUACAUCAGCAUGGUACCAGGAAACACACAGAUGAAUUACACAGGCAGGGACAGCAACUGGAGAGGCUUCCAGAAACUCAGUCCUCAUCCAGAAUACUAGCACCAGCUUCAGAGUUCUCUGGGUCCAUGCUAGCUGAGCUUCUACCUCCCCGCCUCUCCAAUCCAAAAGAAAUCCAUUCCCUAGCAUUUUACUUCUUCCUCAGAGUCCCACCCCUGCCUCAGUCCUUGCCCCAGACCCACUACUCAAAUAUGCCAUGCUCCUCCCCUCUGGGCAGACCCUGGAGCACCUUCUGGACCACAGCUACAGCAGGAGGGAUUGGGGCUAGACAUUUUGAGCACCUUCCCAGUGGCAGAGAGCAGUGGUGCUGAGGAGCUGAGCAGAGGGCCAAGGAAGGGAUGUGAGCUUGAGUCCAGGCCCGAGAUCCUCAGCCUGACUUUGCAUCUUGCCGGGAGAGGCAUCAUUCAUCCACCCAGGGGUGGAGAUGGGGCAGGGGGAGGGGAACGAAAAACACCCACAGCCCAUUAACCUACUUUUGCAACUUCAUUAAAACAGAGUCUUCGACAUGUUGCCAUAAAUUGUCUUCUGAGGAGGAAGCCAGAUCUCAAGUUCUAGCAGUGAAGCUUCAGAGAAGAGGCUGGGAUAGCCAGAUGACAAGCUGAGGCCUACGAUGAUUUAGGCUGAGGAUACCAUCUGCCUGAGAGAACCCUCCUCUUGGAGUCUUGCUCCUCAAAAUGUGACUUCAGAGCCAGCAGCAUUGGCAUCCCUGGAAGCGUGGUACCAAUGCAUUCUUGGACCUCAACUCAGACCUAUUCAAUCCAACUCUCCAGUUUAGCAAGAUCCCCAGGUGAUUUUUAUGUACAUUAAAGUUUGAAAGCAAUACUCUAAAGAACCAGAAAUGCCAGACCAGGGUCCAACAGGGAAACUGAAUGCCUAAGACAUUCAUUCAUUCAUUUACCCAUUCAAUAAAUACUUAAUAAGCA